CUACGGGGUGCAGCAGUGGGGAAUAUUGCACAAUGGAGGAAACUCUGAUGCAGUAACGCCGCGUGGAGGAUGACACUUUUCGGAGCGUAAACUCCUUUUAUAUAGGAAGAAGAUGACGGUACUAUAUGAAUAAGCGCCGGCUAACUCCGUGCCAGCAGCCGCGGUGAUACGGAGGGCGCAAGCGUUACUCGGAAUCACUGGGCGUAAAGAGCGUGUAGGCGGAUUAAAAAGUCAGAAGUGAAAUCCUAUAGCUUAACUAUAGAACUGCUUCUGAAACUCUUAAUCUAGAAUAUGGGAGAGGUAGAUGGAAUUUCUGGUGUAGGGGUAAAAUCCGUAGAGAUCAGAAGGAAUACCGAUUGCGAAGGCGAUCUACUAGAACAUUAUUGACGCUGAGACGCGAAAGCGUGGGGAGCAAACAGGAUUAGAUACCCCCGUAGUC
rnacentral:rRNA from 1 species